rnacentral:rRNA from 1 species
GACGAACGCUGGCGGCGUGCUUAACACAUGCCAGUCGAACGGAAAGGCCCUGCUUGCAGGGUACUCGAGUGGCGAACGGGUGAGUAACACGCGGGAGAUCUGCCCUGUACUUUGGGGUAAGCCUUGGGAACUGGGUCUAAAAUAGGAUAGGAGCCCUCUUGCGUGUGAUGGGUGGAAAGUUUUUUGGGUGUAGGAUGGGUUCGCGGGCUAUCAGCUUGGUGGUGGGGUAAUGGCCUACCCAGGCGGCGACGGGUAGCCGGCCUGGGAGGGUGGACGGCCACAAUGGGGCUGGGGAUCGGCCCCAGCUCCUAAGGGGGGCAGGAGGGGGGAAAAAUGGACAAAGGGGGCGAGGCUGGUGGAGGGACGGCGCGGGGCGGAAGACCGGCUUCGGGUUGUAAAAUCGUUUCGCUAGGGAAGAAGGUGUUUGUGACGGUAACGGGUAAAGAAGCACCGGCUAACUACGUG